rnacentral:rRNA from 1 species
AUUGAACGCUGGCGGCAGGCUUAACACAUGCAAGUCGAGCGGAGUGAUGGUGCUUGCACUAUGACUUAGCGGCGGACGGGUGAGUAAUGCUUAGGAAUCUGCCAUUUAGUGGGGGACAACAUUCCGAAAGGAAUGCUAAUACCGCAUACGUCCUACGGGAGAAAGCAGUGGAUCUUCGGACCUUGCGCUAAAUGAUGAGCCUAAGUCGGAUUAGCUAGUUGGUGGGGUAAAGGCCUACCAAGGCGACGAUCUGUAGCGGGUCUGAGAGGAUGAUCCGCCACACUGGGACUGAGAAACGGCCCAGACUCCUACGGGAGGCAGCAGUGGGGAAUAUUGGACAAUGGGCGGAAGCCUGAUCCAGCCAUGCCGCGUGUGUGAGGAAGGCCUUUUGGUUGUAAAGCACUUUAAGCGAGGAGGAGGCUACUAGUACUAAUACUACUGGAUAGUGGACGUUACUCGCAGAAUAAGCACCGGCUAACUCUGUGCCAGCCGCCGCAGUAAGAC